UAUAAAACAGAAAGCAUCAGCUUGCAAUAAAUUCACAGAUGUGUUAAGUAACACACAAUGGAGGUCCUUUCAGCAAACUGUCAAAAGGAAAAGACUGCACUGGGAGUAGGAAAGGGCAGGCUGCCCCUCUGCCGAAUUUGGCAGAUUGGAUUUUACAUCUGCUCCCCGACCUAUUACAACCUCAUUUAUCUGCUUCGUCCCCAUCCCCUGUCCUGCCUCAGCUGCACACAGUGGCUCUGCUAAGGCACACGUAAGGAGAAGGGGCUUCAACCUCUCCAGGGGUGCUGGAGCUGCAAUAACAACGCCAGUGCUGAGGAAAGUUUCUGCGAGUUUAAGGGUUUUGGCAGGUAUUGUAACAAAAAGGAGGGAAGCUUUCUGCUCAUGCAGGGACCGUUUUCUUAACCACAAAUAAAUCAGAUAUUUGGCAUUUUCUGAGUUGCCGCCCUCCAGAAAGAACAACGUAUUGCUGGCUGUGUCGGAAUCAAGUGUAAUGGACAGAGGGAAGAAAAAGGAGACAUCUAUGGCUCCAAGCCUGCAGUAAACAUUUCCAUGCCAUGCUGAAGACCUGGGCUGGUAUGCCCUCAGCAGAGCUAUUGAAAGAUAUGUUUUUUAUGGCCAGAGAUCAUUUUCUUCUGAAUAUGAAAACCCAGAGAUAAAAAGGUCUUUAUUUACAAGUGUUGGAGCAGAGAGGUUGCAAACUGCAUCCCUGAGCCAGCAAAGAUUUCUGUGCUGGGGUGGGAGCUGAGUGGGAAGUCGGUGGUGCUGGGUAUGCUAUUGGGAAUGGUCCACCACACUUUGCCCCUGGCACUUCUGGCCUCUUUUGCACUCUUUGCCACUGGGAGACUGUGAAUUAUGCCCACAUAAAGCCAUAGAAAGAACAGUAAUUAAGUAGAAUCCAACUUUUCACUUAUGCCAUGCAAGCCUGAUCCUCAACCAUCUCUUCAAAUGACUUUUUAGGGUGGUCCACCUGACUUGAAAAGUUAUGGGGCACAGAUCAGGCGCUCAGGGAGCGGAGUGCUGCGGUGCCCUCUCCCCUUGCCCAAGCAGUGAUCAGAGCCUCCGUGUAGCCCCGGUUGUCCAAGCUGGCAAAGCCCAGAAUCUUUCUGGGCUCAUAAAUAGCGUUAUUUAUGUAGCAUGGGCAAACAAGUGCACCCACAGAUUCUGUUUGGGGGCAUUUAAACAGGAGGCACGUUUUUAAAGCUUUCUGUCUGAAAAAUGAUCUGAAGGAGGUUCCUUAUACGAGUGAAACUCCAUGACAGGAGCCUUCCUCCAAUUAUUCCUACAUACUGGGACAACAAAUAUGUCUAGCUGGGAGCCUUGCCACUUCGCUUCCUUCCAUGUAGAAAUAAGGGAAAGGUUGAGAACCGAGGCUGUGAAUCCCUGCUGUACCCCUGUAAAGUAAUAAUAGCAGCAUCAGUAAUAGCUCUUAAAUCAGGAGGACUUGCUGCAGCUCGCUCCCACGAGGCUUGCAUGACAGCAUUUAACGUUCACGGGAAUGACAUGUUCCCAGCAAGAACAUUCUCAUUUGCAUUAUGGCAGGACAUGGAGACCCAAGUUAGAUUUUAAGUGUUGAGCAAACCUGAUGUGACAACAUAGUCCUUGUUUCCAUACUAUGUUUAGUCUAAGCUAACCUUUUUCAGACCCUCCUCCCUGCUCCGAAUGAAAGCUUUGUGGAAAGGCACGCGCAACGCAACAGCAAGGAAUAAAAGUAUAGAAGCAGGAGAGAAAAGGAGGUAAAAAGCACUUGAACCUUCAUUGACUCCAGAAUUCCUGUAAGCCCUCAGCCUUCUCCGUUUUCUAAUAAAGGAGGAAGAUGUUUGGUGGCUGUCCUAUCCCCUUUUUAUUGUCCUCAUCAGUCCAUCAGUGUAUGGAUGGGAGAGAAGAGAAGAAAAAGGUAUAAGAAAAGUCAAGAGAAAGCAUUUGGGGUAAGAAGGAGAGGGAGAAUUAGAGGUGGUCAUGGGUUGGAGACUGGGGCUUGGGGGGUGUUCAAGAAGCCCCGGAGCAUCCCCGUUGACAACAGCUUAGGGAGAGCAAGUGCCACGUCCCCAUAAAGGGUGGAAGGGAUUUCCAAAUUUCCCCCAGCCCCCCUCAUUUAGAAUUUAACCCUCUGUAAGGGGACGGCGCACAGCUGAGCGCUGCCGAGGGCUGGCCUGGGAACGGGGUCCGGGUUAGGGUUCGUACACAUCAGUAACUCACUCCCACGGCCCUGGGCAGCAUUGUUCUCUAAAAGCAGACAUGUUUCCUUCCAAGUAGCAGACAUGGAAAGAAAAACACACACAAAAACAAAUCAUCUCGUCCUUCCUUCUCCGGAUGGCGAGCAGCCCGCUCCAGCUUGUCACUGAGGCUCGAGGUGGACGCAAUCCCAGUCUGACAGAGGAGAUGGGAGGAUGAAGAAGUCUCCGAAGCCCCUUUUCCCUGGAAAAUCCACUGAGGAAGGCUGACCCUACCGAGCUUUCUCCUUGACCUCUCCUAUGUACAUCUCCCUGUUACCAGCGCAUCUCAGCACAUCUCAAAGGCAGGCAUGGGAUACUUGGGGUUUUUCCACGUGUCAAACUCUUUCAGCUCUGUUGGGAAGGAUCUCAGUUAGCUCACGGCUCUGUCAGGCUUCCCUAAUACUCACCCAGUGCAGCUCCCUGCCUCUCGGUAAGGUCUGCAGGUUUCCUAAUGUCUUUCAGGGUUUGGGGGCUGCAAGGCUGUGGCUGGAAAGAAAUCACUGCAGAAAGAAGCAGAAACAGCGACGAUUGCACCCUCCUCUUGGGCUGCAUCCAGUCCUCAUGCCCUGAAGACGUUGAUGCGCUGGGUAAAGCUCUGAAGAUAAAAGGUCCUGGGUGUUUUGAAGGGGAUAAACCCAUCCUUUGCGAUAGGAUCUCCACCACUUGUUGCCCCGGCUCUGUUAUCUGUCCCUCAUUGGCUAUUUUUUUAAGCUUUCCCUCCUCACAAAAUAAUCAGUAAAUCAUAACAGGCUAAAAACACAGUUGGGCAUCUGUCCUGCCGCUGGGGCUUUUGGCUGCUUUUAGAUCAUUAAAUGGGCCUGGCUCUACACAACCUGACAAAUACGAGGUGAACUUUACCCCCGGGUCUGCCACCUUCACACAACAAGGGCACAUAUUCCACAGCUGGGGAGCUGUUAUUCGACUCGGACUGUACCACAGGUCAGAAUUUAUGACUUUGUUAUUAUUAUGUUUGUGAGUUUUAUGGCCACACAGGUCCCGCGGGAACCCGCAGCACUUUUGCUUGGCCAUGUCAGUCAGACAUUCAUAACGCACCAGAGAGGAAGCAUUGAAAAUGCUGGGAAUAUCCUGUCUAACACUGUCUCUCAUCUCUCUGACCCUCAGAUUGUAGGGCCACUGACAUGGUGGCAUCUCCUACUGGUACCCAAGAUGAAAAAUCCACUGAGCAGGACCAAGUCAGUGUGGUUAGCUGUCAGAAAAUACUCCUGUCUGGCCAUCUUACCCCCCUGCAGCAGCAUGGUCCUUCCCCACCAAGCUCCCCCACCUCUCAAGGGAUCUUCACUCUUCAGAAAAGUCAAAGUCUUCCCAAGCAGCAAAUGCACUCACCCCCAAGGAGCCCUGGCAUCUGCCACCAUCCACAGCCAAGAGCUGAUAGCAUCUGUUUCAUCGCCUGCCUUGCUGGGGACAUCUGGGCCAGGGACCAGGGUAUCUGAUGGAGAUGUAGUGGGCCAUGUUUGAAAUCUUUGCCGGAGCCACUGGCCUCUGAAGCCAUAAAACGCCAAGGUCAAAAUAUCCUGAGAAUUUUUCCCUUUUUCCCUCCUUCCCUGCUCCCUCUUUCACCCUCUCCCAGCCCUCCAGGAACCACCUCUCACAGGCAUCAUGUUAAAGGCAAGAGUGGCAUUGCAUUUUACAAGACCUGGGGUUUGACAUUCCUCACAUUUGGAUGCAGAAAAUAUUCAAGCAAUGUCAUCCUUUCAUUGCCUGUCCAUCCUGGAAGAACAAGGGGGUACAGAUAUGUGUAAUUACCACUGGGAGCCACAAACCUCUGAUUUGCGAACACACCGUGCAAGCUAACCUUGUAAUUAUAUAUUAAACUUAGAGAUCAUAUGUAAUAAUAAAUGUAUAAUUCCCUGGUAUCCAAUGAUAUUGUUAUUCUGUAGCAUAAGAUAA